CCUCCACUGUGGGCAUGGGAGUUCAUGCUGAUACCAACACCCUCCAGGCGGGCUGAAGCACCAGCCAUAUGCCAUUUUACACAUGGAAGUGCUUCUGGAAAUAGAACUUUCUAUUACAUUUCAGGCACCCCAAGGAAGCUGAUUUUUCCAGGCUUGCAGUGGCUUCUGGUUUAAAAUGACAUCUGGCAAAAAGCUUCUCACCAAGAGAGUUUGGACGGCACUAAGAACGAAGAAAAUUCAUGCUACCACCAAGAACUGGAUUUGAUUAUCAACAUUUUCUAGAAUCUGGGGGAAAGUUUCUCUAUUUCCAAAGCUAAUGAUAAUGGAUUGGAAAAAAUAGUAAAUAUAGUAAAUCAACUUCGCAGUGUCACUAAAAAUUAAUAAACAAGCCUUAUUAUUUGAAAGUGACUGGCAACUUUUACAUAAAUGCCUUCUGCUUUAUCAGCUAGAAAAUUGGACAGCCAUCUCCUUACUGUGGGGGAGCUUCUUUGAUCAGACAUAGAGGUAUUUCUACCCUCUCUAGCAAGAACUGAGAGGACAGAAAUUAGGGAAGACUGUAGGCAGGGGUUGCUUUGGGAAUGGAUCCUAUAUCCUGGCAGGUGUUGACUGCAGGUAACAGGCACAACAGAAAAUUUCAUCUCAGCAUAGAAGAGCUACUUUGCAAGAACGACACUGAGAAUUUGACUAUAAUCUAUGUUCAUUUUCUCCCCUUCCAUCUGUACUUCUUAGGAUGAAUUCCAAAUUACAUUCAGGUUGAGAAAUCAUGGGAUCAAAAGCAAUGCAACAUGUUUGCGUGUGAAUAUGAAGCCCAGUAAAAAUUCUUCUCACUUGAGAAUCAGUAUACAAAUAUGAAAAAUAGAUUUUGAUUAUAGUUUACAAAUGUUCUGUCUUUUCUUGCCAUAGGAUUUUACCUCUCCAUUAUGUUUUACUAAGGCAUGGUCAUUUGACCUGCUCUGGCUAAUGGGAGGUGGGCAGAGUGAUAUGGAUCGCUUUUGAUUGAAAGGCUUAGGAGUGAGUAUGUGACCACUAUGUCAUCUAUAUCAUAGAGCCACCAUGAUGGCCAGAGAGAACCUGCCCUGUCAACUUGGGUUCCAAGGUGACAGUGACAUGGAACAGUGCCUCAGGUGAUUAGGAAUAGAUGAGUAACAUGGGAAGAAAUAUCCACACUGUAUACAUUAAUCCCCAUUAAUCAUCAACAUCAUCUGCUCCUGACAUCCAACCAUCAAUAUCCUCAUGGCCAAAGGACCCAGAGUCACCCAGGGCAGAUGAUCCUUCUUCUGACUGAGCAUCAGAAAGUCAACUGUAGCCUAACACAUCACAAUGCCUACAUCAUUCACCUCAUUUUAUCUCAUCACAGAGGCAUCUCACAUCAGCACAAGAAGAAGGGUGCUCUGGGCUCCACAUCAAGCUUCCUUCAGCGUAGGAGACAUGGGCCAGCCCUACAGUGUUUGUGUAGACUGUCUCCUUGGCCCCUCUUCUUGGGCCACUCUUCCAAUAGGUCCCUAUAACCAAAUAUUGUGACACGAUUAGAUCUCAAAACAGUGAGAUCUUGGGUCUGCUGGACCUGGAAGUUGCUAGUCUGGGGGAUGAACAGAGCGUGAGGUGGCUGGAUCUGGGAACAGCAAGAUCAUCACACAACAAUGCUGUGAGUCUUCAAAAUGGGUCCUCCUAUAGAAUAUGGGGAAAAUACUGAAGUCUAUCUCCUGAGGCCAUUGCGUGUGGCUGCAACAAUGCCAGGUAACAGGCAAGAAGACAGUGUCUACAAGCCAGAAAGACAUCUCUUACAAGAACCUGACCAUGCCGGCACCCUGAUCUUGGACUGCCAACCUUGAGAACUGCAGAAAGUCCUGAAAAUUGGCUACAUAGGAAGCAGCGUCCCAGUUCCAGACUCCAUGUGAAUGAAGCCAGACAGUAAGAGCCCUCGAGUCUUCUCCGUCUGUUCCCCAGAGGCUGCUGAAAGGACCCAGGGAAGAGCCCAUGACUGUCAUGACUGUGGUUUCGUCCGUGUGGGGCCCACAGGCAUGUUCACAGAGGAUGCGGGUGCCUGGGGCCCAGGAGGAGAGGAUUCUAUUGAUAAGGGACACCUCGGGUGCUCACUUCCACUCUUGCAAAAUGGCCUCAGUAGACCUCACUCUCAUUUCCAAAGAAGAAGAGGAGGCUGAUUCACUUCAUAGGUUCAAAGGGGAUUGGAGACAUUAACCAGUAUUUGAUUGAUUAGUGAAAGAUGAGGGCUGUUAGCAGCACAGCACUCUUCCCUGAGUCUGUGUUGGCCUGGGUGUCUACAGAAUGUUCAGCAUUUAGGCUUAAUCCAUAGGAGUGGUGAUGUGGUUGCAAGGGGCUUCAGAUAGACUCCUAAAGCUACGAGAAUUUUUGCUCCUCUGGGACCCACAGAGACACUUCCACAGAGGCCAGAGGCUCUACUCAACAUCCAUCCCCUAGGUCUGAGGGACACAGGGUUACAGGAUACCUCAAGCCCCAGGCAAAUCUGUGUUUCCUCUCCAAAAUAAUAAAAGAGGGUUGGAACGAGUUGC